rnacentral:rRNA from 1 species
UACGAAGGGGGCUAGCGUUGUUCGGAAUUACUGGGCGUAAAGCGCGCGCAGGCGGUCUUCCAAGUCAGUGGUGAAAGCCCGGAGCUCAACUCCGGAACUGCCAUUGAAACUGUUGGACUUGAGUACGAGAGAGGUGAGUGGAAUUCCCAGUGUAGAGGUGAAAUUCGUAGAUAUUGGGAAGAACACCGGUGGCGAAGGCGGCUCACUGGCUCGUAACUGACGCUCAGGCACGAAAGCGUGGGGAGCAAACAGG